CCUAUUUUUCUUAUCAGAAAAAUAGGGAGUCUUGUGUGAUAAGAAAAUGCUACCGUUACUAAAAGAUAAGUUUUAUAGAGCAGUGGUUAGACCGACCAUGUUGUAUGGGAUCGAGUGUUGGCCGGUUAAGAACUCACACAUCCAGAAGAUGCAAGUAGCAGAGAUAAGGAUGUUGCGAUGGAUGUGCGGACAUAUAAGGAUGGAUAAGAUUAGGAAUGAAGAUAUUCGUUUCAAGAGCUCGAACUCGAUAAAAUGAGUGAUACGGAUAUAACAUUACUUAUAUAUAUUAAAAAAAGAGAGAAUAAAUUCAGUCUCCAAAGCCAAUUGAUUGACGAACAAGGCCACCCCACCUGGCACGGUGAAGCCAAACCCAGCCAAAAGGCCUAAAAAAGCAAAUGAAAAAGCCAAGUCGGCCAAUGUCUCGCCUUCACUGUGCAAUAUUUAUAAAAGGCGGAGAUAUCCCCAUCUCACCCAGCAAAAUCCCCUUUUCGCGAUUCUGAGCGUAGUAUAAUUCUUCAUAUGCGCGCGCACGUACACAUUUCACUGAAGCAGUGAAUUUCAAUUUUUUUAAAAAAAAACCAUAAAGCUGCCUUUUCCUUUCAUUUGCUUUUUGCCUCUCUUUUUAUUCUCGAGCCUUCUCUUUCUUAGCCUGAAAGCUGCCUUCCUCUCUCCCUCUAUAGCACUGGUCAGUGGCCACUCUCUAUAUAUGCUCUGCAAAACAUCUUUUCUCUCUUUCAAUUUCAGCCACAUUUCCAAUUUGAGAAUCUAAACAUUCAUCUGCUCAACUUUCAGGUAUUUUUUCUCUCUCUGCUAUCUCUUUCUGAAAAGUGAAAUCUGUGCGGUAUUUAUAUGUAUGUGCUGGUGCAAGUAUUUGGCUGAUUGAACGAGGUUAAUUGAAUGAUCUGGAUUUGAAUCCGCGAUCAGAAAAUCGCGGAAUUUCUGGUUGAACAUGCACUUUCUAGGCAUAGUGAAAGAGGAUGUGAAUCCUUAGCUUUUCGCUCUGCUUUUUUAAUGCCGUUAUUUUGAAUCACGUUUCGGGAAUUUUCUGUUUGCAUGAUUUUCAGAUAAAGUGAUGUUUCAUUUUAGAUUUAUACUAUAUUAUAAAGAGUUUAACUAAUACUCAAUGACAGUGAAACGAACUUUUAAACUUUGUUUUUUAAAAUGAUAAAUCUUAUUUUUAUGAAGAAUUACCUGUAAAUAUUUUUUGUUUAAUAUAUGCCGAGGCAGAUACAGAAUUUUUAAAUUAUGAGUUCUUAAUUAUUUUUAAUCUGAAAAUUACUACUGAGAAUGAGUGCUUAAUUAAUAUAUUUAUACUUAUAAUUUACUAUGUGUUUUUUAUAUAAUUAUAAAGUUUGGCUCCAAAAGUAAUGGGUGCUCAAGCACCAUGGUCCAUAAUGUACAUCCGCCACUGGAUAUAUGUAUAAUUUUACAAAUAUCUUUUGUUUAAUCUGAUAGUGAAAAAAAGUGUUGGUGUAUUAAACGCAAUAUAUGUGGAAGUAUAGAUAUCCUUCCACAUGAAAUAGAAAAUAUCUGUUUCUUCUGAUUUAGGAGUGAGUAUUAGAUGCUGAAUUUUGAGGACACAAUUUGAAGUGCAAAAAAGGUGACGUAAAAAGUGCAUUGGUAGUCCGCCACUCCAUCUUGAAUGCAGGAACUCAUGUACUGUUGUGCUUGCCCACUCAAUUUGAACUUGUUAAAUUUCAGAAGAAUAGAAUCGGUACACUACAUUUAAAAACUAUUUUCAGUCAUACUUGCUUAUGUGGAUUUUGGAAUUUAACAAAUAACAUUUAAAUUCAUUAUUUCAGGGUAAAGUUUUCAAGUUUUUGUCACUAAAAAAUGCUACAAUAAUUCUAAUACUCCAUAUAGUCUGUGAAAUGUCACAUCUGUGUGUGUGUGUUUGAUUGUUGUGACUUGUGAAGUUGUGUUCAAUCCACCCUCCACUAUAUUUUCUACUAGGACUGCUGCAUAGAGGAAAAUCAGAAAAGCUUUGUGGAUUUUGUUUUUGCUCUCAUUGUUAGUUUUGUGGAAAAAGAUUCGGUUGGUUAGGAUUGAUGUAAACGCCAACCUCAUACAUUUAAUUUGUUCUAACAUACGUUUAUUUUAUUUCUAGAUUUCCAAAUUAGAUUAUUAUAGAGUGUUACCUCUUUUUGGUUGUUGUUUUAUGUCGUUUCAAUCUGGUGUAAAAAGAGUAUACAAUAGCAUAAAAGUUAAAUUUAUUUAUUAAACUUUAUAAUAGAUCGUUUAUUUUAUUUUUUAUAUUUCAAAUUUAAAUUUUAUAGAGUGUUACCUUUUCGCCCUUGUUGUGUCAUUUAAAAUUAAAUCUGAUAGUGUGAAAAAGUCAUAGAUAAUAUUUUUAGGCAUAGAAGUAAACUUAUGCAUUAGAUUUUUAACAACUUUUAUUGAAUAGAAAAUUAAAGCCUCAGACUUCGCUGGACAACGUUCCAUUAACCUGGGGUCCUAAAAGCCUAUAAAAGGAAAAAUCAUUUUGAGAUUCCUUCUCCGAUAUUAAAAAAAGGAAUAUAAAAUAGACCCUUUCAAAGACUCAAGUGGCCCAUAGACCCUUCAAAAGAGGGUUCGGGUUCUCUAUAAUUUGUUCUGAUUAAUUUUUUAUUAGGUUCACUUUCUAAGAGAAUUUUUUAAUUAAAACAAAAAUUAAUUCCUGGGUAUUACCAUGAAAGUGCAUUCUUGCGUAAGCGCUGCCUUUUCCAGCUUUUUUAAAAUACGAAUCUCAAAAAAUAAAAUCUCUGUGUCAGCUGCAUGGCUGUAAGGCUUUAUGUAGCUUUUAAAGCUUACACGAGGAUUCGUCUGCUCUUCCACUUCCACUUCCCCUCUCGCUAUGAUAAUUCUCUCUUCUCUGCCACCCGAAAUCUUUAUAUAUUCUCUAUUUCUCCCUCUUUCACCUCAAAGAAAGGUUGUCAAUUUAAUUCACCCACCAAAUGUUAAUUCUUUAUUCUAACUCUUGCUCUUUUGAGUCAUGAUUCUAUAGCUUUCUGGUUAUUGACGUUUGGAUCAAAUUAGGCCAGAACCCUCAGGUUUGACCGAGUCUUGAUUUUAUUUUCCCGUUUUCGCGAUACUCCUCUGGUGGUUUUUGAAGUUGGGUUAGGAUUGUUUACCUAUCAGGCUGUCACACAAAUAUUUCUGGCAUUAUUAGCUGCGCAAAAGGUUAGAAUUCUCAAUUCUAUAGCAGGCUUUUGAUUUUCUGCAUGCAAUGUGUUUGUGCCAGUGUCCGCGUUGAAUCUAAUAAUUGUUCAGAAGCAUUACAAUCGUUCUUUCUUUUACUUUUUGUGCGCCUUUAUACUUAUACACUUGUCGUUGCUCACUUUGGUUGAUUUUUCUUGUUUUCUUGACCUGAACUUGAGAUACCAAAUGAAUUUGUACAACGUGAUUAAUUAAAAACCUUGGAGGAAAACAGCCAAGACUCUUAAUGGUAGACCCCAUUUCCCCUGUAGAAAUCUGUGGAUCCCAUUCUCCCUGUUAUCUCUUGUGGUAGACCCCAUUCCCUUUUAGAAUUCUGUGGAUCCCAUUCUCCCUGUUAUCUCUUCCUUAGUAUAACUCUGUUUUUCUCUAUUAUUGGUUAUUCUAAUUUUUAAAUAUUGGAUUGGUACAUGUCUAAAUGUAGCUACAUGGAUAGUGAAGAGUCGUAUAGCUGAUCCCCACUAGCUUGGGAUUGAGGCGUAUUUGUUUUUUUUUUAUUGGUUUAUUUAACAAGAAUGCUGUUGUACUGUUCACAUAUGUUACCCUGGGCUAUGCAAUUGCAUUUUCACUGUUCGUACUUGAGGCGAUUGUGGAAUUUUAUUCUUGUAUCAUUCAGGAGGGAGUUUCUUCUAUCACUACCACUUAAUUUGCUAUAAUCAAGAUGAAAGACGUUUGUUUUCAGGGACAACAGAACUCUAUUAAAUUCAUCCUAGGAGGUCAUAUUCUAGAUAGAUGCCAGGAAACAAGUACAACGGAAACCAAACGGUUGCCACCACUCGAUUGGAGAGGCUAUUGAGAGAAAGAGAGCUAAGGAAAACUAGCAGAACUUCUCACCAAACAAGCGAUUCAACUGAUAGCAACAGGGGCAAUGAGCUCUCUGACCAUGAUUUUCGCCAAGGAGAAGCUGAUAAUGCAGGAGUUUCAUAUGUCGAACAGUACCUAGAAGGAGUUGCACGAGCAUAUAGUGAGGGAUGGGAGCGGCCCGAUGGACGGCCCGCCAGACAACGACUCCUGGUUGUGGCUAAUAGGUUACCUGUCUCUGCAGUAAGAAGGGGUGAGGAAUCCUGGUCUCUGGAGAUAAGUGGUGGAGGUCUAGUUAGUGCUCUUCUUGGUAAGCUAGCUUCCUUUCAGUCAUAUCUGAUUUUUCAUUUUGACUCUUAUUUUUACCUAGACUCUAAUUAUCUCUUUUUGGGAGUUCGAUGUUCAUAUUAUCUAAGAGAUGGUCUAAUUGUUCUGGAAAUAAUUUGUUGAAGGUGUGAAGGAGUUUGAGGCUAGAUGGAUUGGUUGGGCGGGUGUGAAUGUGCCAGAUGAGGCGGGGCAGAGGGCACUUACUAAAGCACUGGCAGAAAAGGUUUUAAUACAUCGUCCUCCUCAUGUUUUUGCCACCAUAUUUUGUGCCAGAUGAGGCGGGACAGAGGGCACUUACUAAAGCACUGGCAGAAAAGGUUUUAAUACAUCGUCCUCCUCAUGUUUUUGCCACCAUAUUUCAGUUUGCCACACUUCAUUGCCUUUUUGAAUUUAGGACUUUGGAGAUAGCUUUACUUUUUUUUCUCCAAGAAGAAUGCUUUACCUAUAUCCUGCAUUUGUUUACCCUUUUGAUACUGUUCUUGUAGAGGUGUAUCCCUGUGUUCCUGGAUGAAGAAAUUGUUCAUCAGUAUUACAACGGUUAUUGCAACAACAUAUUGUGGCCUCUUUUUCAUUAUCUUGGACUUCCGCAAGAAGACCGCCUCGCGACUACCAGAAGUUUCCAGUCUCAGUUUGCUGCUUAUAAGAAAGCGAAUCAAAUGUUUGCCGAUGUUGUGACUGAACAUUAUGAAGAAGGUGAUGUAGUCUGGUGUCAUGACUACCAUCUCAUGUUCCUUCCUAAAUGUCUCAAGGAGUACAACAGCCAAAUGAAAGUUGGGUGGUUUCUACACACACCCUUUCCAUCCUCAGAAAUUCACAGGACAUUGCCAUCUAGAUCGGAGCUGCUCCGAGCAGUUCUCGCGGCUGAUUUGGUUGGGUAAAUUCUUCUUUGAGCAACUCAUUCUCCUGCAUAUCAUCGAACUUCCUGUUUUCGUUUAACCUUUAAAAUUUGGAAAUAGUUGUUGGGACCUCAGAGUGAUAUUCCUGUCUCUCUGUGCUGAGAGUCAAAGUUGAAGUAGAGGACUACUGCGAGGAUCUUGAAUUCUAAGGUUGUAGGCAUCGAUCUGCGGGGUUUGUUUAAUAGAAAUAACUUAUUACCGGUAAAAAAGAAAUAACGUACUAGUGGUUAGAUUUCUGUGAAAUCUCUUCCUCGCACUAACUUUACCUGGUGAGGCAUGUUUGAAAGAUAUGCUUCGGUAACACCUAGCAUGAUUAUGAAAGACACUCUGCCAAGAAAGUAUAACUAGGAAAAGUCUAUAUUAAAGAGAUUUACAUCAGACCUUAAUAGCAAAGUGUGCUGGUUCUGCUAUUUCAAAUCUACAGCAAUUUCCCCAUCAUUAAUGUUGAGAAUAAUGGGUGUUCCAUGAAUCUGCUAUUAGUUUGCUGCUAGUUCAAUUAUGUUAGAUGCUUGGAAAUUCAUGCUGAAGUUGAUGAUCCUUUUAUUAAAUUAUUAUUUGCUAGGAUAUUUGGAUUUAGUUGUGCUGAGAUUGUGAUGAUUCAAUUUCCAGUGACUAUUUCUAUCUGCAUGAACUUGUACCGUUAUGCUUUUAAAUACGAAUUUUUCACUUCUGGUUUAGAAUGCAGUACCAAGAACUUCCAUGCAUCGAAUGUCUCCUAUUAGAGUCCUUUCCUUUUUUGGUGAGAGGUUUCCAUGUAUAAUAUGGGGUAUUCUUUCAGUUCGUUGGAUUGUAAAGCUUCAGAUAUAAGUUUAAGCCAGUGUGACUUUUUCCCUUUUCAAAAACCGGAUCCUAUUACUUAAUUACUUAUAACUUGAUUGUAUUUGGGCUAAAUUUGAAAUGGUAAUCCAAGUGGCUUCUUAUUUGCUCCUCCUAAUGUUCUAUUGAAUGCUAAUCAUAAAACAUAAUGCUCACAUGGGUUUUCCUCAUACAUGUGUGGUUAUAUUUUCAAAACAAACUGUCUGCCAGUUUAGGUUCUUUUAUUUCACACUACACCUUGAAGUUUCAUUCCAGAGUUUAAGCUGAUAAGAAAAAAAAAAUAAGAUUCCACUAGUUAACCUCUAUGAUAAGAAAGUGUACUGGCGAAGUUGGUUCACAAAUCGUAGCAUAACCUUUCAAAUUAAGCUGAAAAGGAGAAUAUGCUGGUUUCAUUUGUAGCUUUUAUCUGUCUAUAUAAUGACUAUCCAAUAAUUCUAGAUACCAUGUUUUGGUUGUAUCAUGCCAGAGUAACCAACUUCCACUUCAUUGCACAUCUUUGACUUCCUGGUCCGUUAAGGAAAUGAUGUCCACUUUUUCUCCUGUGACUUUUCAUCCGUUAACCUCUAUGUAAUGAAAGUCCUUAGGGCUUGGACCUAUAUUUGCAUAGUUUGGUGAUUUAAAACCAUCUAAUUAUUACUCAAGCCAGGAAUGAUUAGUCAUGUUUUAGGGAUUUUUAUUGGACUUUCUAAUGGAUCAAUAUGCUAAAUUUCCUCUGCAGUUUUCAUACCUAUGACUAUGCAAGGCAUUUUGUUAGUGCAUGUACUCGUAUCCUUGGACUUGAAGGAACUCCCGAAGGAGUAGAAGAUCAAGGUAGACUGACCCGUGUCGCUGCGGUACGUUAAAGUUAACUUUCUACACUUUCACACAAACAUUUCUGCAUUAAGAACUUCUCUAAUCCUCAUCUAAAAGAUUUUGUGUACUUAGCCUUGCGAAAUAUCAACUUGAUUUCUUUCUGAGCAAUUUUUAAAUUGUUUGUACAUACAGUUCCCCAUUGGUAUAGAUUCAGAGCGAUUCAUUCGAGCACUUGAACUUCCUCAAGUUCAGGAACAUAUUAAAGAACUAAAAGAUAGAUUUGCUGGGAGAAAGGUAUUUCUCUCCCGCUCUGUAUCCUCUCUCUAUCUGGCCUAAAUGAUAACACUUUCAUGAAGUAAGAAAAAUCUUUUUGUUUUUUCUGAUUGCAAACAUUUACAUUUGCUUUCUUUUUGAAAUGAUGUCACUUUCAUGAAGUAAGAAAAAUCCUUUUGUUUUUUCUGAUUGCAAACGUUUAUAUUUGCAAUAUGCAUCACAUGGGGAACAAUUUGCUUUUAGAAUUUUUUUUCACCAAUUUCACUGUCUAUUUUUAACUGUGAAAUCUUGGCAUUGAAUUCCAUCAAUAUCAUAUUUCCGCUUCCCAGUUCCUUAGGCCAGUUGCAGACUUGGUCAUGACCGGGAUCCAUCUUGGGUAAUUUUAUCAUCGUCUUCUGAAAAUUGUACCUCCCCUACAAAGAUUGCAGAAGUAAUGUCACCCUUUUCUAGUAGUGUACUUUCGAUAAAAAUGGGGGCUAGAUAAAAUAGUACGAAACAGGGGCAGGCUUAAGCCAUAGAUUCAAGUCCUACGGCUGCCUGUCAUCACAAUACGUUCAUGUGCUUACAUCAAGCAAAAAGUUGCCUGUUUGCUGCACCAGAAGGUGUAUCUUGGAGGCGUAAUAAGUAAAUACUUCCGUUCUGUUACUACAGUUGACAUGCUUAACACUUAGAUAGUCGGAUAUUUCUUACUGAAUUUUUCCUAUUAUGAAACAGUAUAUGGAUAUGAAUAUGGAAAUAGGACAGUAAUUUUAAAAAAAAAGAUAGAAAAAAAGAGAUAAAGAAAGAUUUCUUUGCAUUUGCCAGGAGUAAUUAUGUUCUGUUGUUUUGCUGCCUUAAAGCAGAUGUAGCUUUACGCUCUUAGAAAUUCCAUGUGGCUUUAUUAUGGUUGGAGAUCUUUCCCCUUUUUUCUGUUUUGUACAAAAUCCAUAUUCCUUUUUCUUAUUAAAAGGUGAAAGUAUUUGCUACUAAGUCAUGUAUGUUUCAAUUUUCUGAAGGCUACCUGGAAUUUCCUCACCUUUUGUUGCAAAGCUAUGUCAGUCUUGUGUUCUUGCUAGUCAUUUUUUUAUCUUGUUUUAUGUAUACCAAACUCGUACCACUUUUUUCUGUUUCUGCCUGUAGUCAGGUAGGAGGAUGACCUUAUCUGCUGCAAUUGUUUAUGCAUUGGUCCUAUAAACUUUGACCUUGCUUAGUUUUCCCCAAAUAUAUUUGAAUACAGGUGAUGUUAGGAGUUGAUCGCCUUGAUAUGAUUAAAGGAAUUCCCCAGAAGAUCCUAGCAUUUGAGAAGUUCCUUGAAGAAAACCCGUACUGGCGUGAUAAAGUGGUUUUGCUGCAAAUUGCUGUGCCAACAAGAACAGAUGUUCCUGAAUGUAUUUCUUGGGCACAUCAUUCUGAGUUCUUCUUUAUUCCUUUAAAUCACUUUAUUUUUUCCUUUUGUCCUAUUUGCCAUUACUGCCUGUAGGGAAAGUUUAUUCCACUAUAAUGGUCCAGUUCAUCAUUAGCUGUUUUUACAUCUGAACAGAGAGUUCCUAGGAAGGGGAGUUUUUUGAUUCAUAAGUCCACUGGUCAAAGCCUAAAAAAAAUUUGUCUAGGGAAAGCAUCAUAGAUUAUUUACAAAAUAUAGACGCUCUAAAAUUUAAAGAUCCCUGUUAAUGACCUUAAUGAUCCGGACUUGAGGGCUAGCUAGCUUUUAGAGUUGUUAAGUUAAUUGUUAAAUGUAUCUGCCCAGGAAAAGGACAUGUGCCACAUGCAUUCCAUCAUGAAUCUAUUUAGUUGCAGAAUAUAAUCCUCCCUUCCUGUUGGCUAAUUCAUCUGUGCUUAUAACCAUGAGUCGUCUUUGAUUACUCCUAGCUUGUCAGCAAUAGCUGCACCGGUAGGAGUGAUCAUUUUAGAGAAAUAUCUCUCUCUCUCUCUCUCCCUCUCACUCUCCCUCUCUCUCCUUCACUUUCCAUGUCUUUCUGUCUUAAACCUGGUGCGUACUUUCCAUAUUGGUUAUUCAUUGAGGCUAAACUGUAUGUUGAGGGAAUCACGCAUCCUUUUACUUUCCAUGCUAUAGUUGUAAUGAAGUUUUGUUCUGCAACAGAGACAUCAGGUACAAAAUUUAAAUUAGAAAAUUGUGUAACAGUAUAGUUUGCACCCCACAAUGAUCUGUCAUUACAUUAAAGAGCUUGGCAAGAAAACUAGUUGAGGUGGUUAUCUGAUUCUUUUUGUUUUCACUUUAGAAUAAGAUUACAGUGUGUAAUGCUAGGACAUUAGAAAAACAUUACACAUGUAAAGUCUUUUCAAAGAAGUUGAAGCAGUUCAAUACAACUUUGGAAUUCUUUCUCUGAGCAUUAAUCAUCCAGCACAGUCCUCAACUUGGACGGAACAUCCAUGAGAGGAACAAAGAUGGGAUUCAAACCAAAGCUUAUUACUCUUUUUAUUCACCUAUUUUCCUGUGGAUUCCGUGAGAUACUUUGUCUGUUGCAUCUAGAAAUGCUUCCAUGGAAAUGACAGUUUCUAUCUGAUGAACUUUGGUGACUAGCUUAUUCUCCUUGAAUUAGCUCGAGUACCACUCACAAGGGAGAUUAUCUUGUAAGCUUUCAACUAGGACAGUGCUUUACUUCCCUUUUCUGAAUUUUAAAAACUUAAAUAUCUGGGAAUUCAUGAACCCAGUUGGACCUUAAGGACAGUCAAAUUUCAAUAAGAUUUAUUUGGUUAUAAAUGCUGAUGUAUGCAAUUUAUCUUCAUGCUUAAGUAUGAUAUUUUACUUGGUUUCACCUUGUAUUUUUGCAGACCAAAAACUUACUAGUCAGGUUCAUGAGAUUGUUGGACGCAUCAAUGGCCGAUUUGGAACUUUGACUGCAGUGCCUAUUCAUCAUCUGGUUAGCCUUUUUUCCCUAAAUUCAUUUUUCCUGAAUUUUACCAAGGCUGAAAAAUGGCUAUACUGUUUUUUCAAUGCAGGAUCGAUCUCUUGACUUUCAUGCAUUAUGUGCACUAUAUGCUGUAACUGGUAAUCCCUUUCAUCUUGCAUUUAGUUCUAUUAGCAGCUUUCACUCCCCAUUUGCACCCCCAACCCCCACACUUCUUAGUUGCAGUAUGCUAUGCUAUUCUGUGAGAUAAUAAUGUGUAAUAGUAGUGUUGUUUCUGCUCAUCUAUGUUUGGUCAUUUUCUUCUGUACUUUACAUGUAAGCACUAGUACAUGCUUGUGCUCUCACCUGGUAUGAGUUUAUUAGAUUGUCUCUGGAAUUGGAACUAAACUAUGAGAAGAGAAGAGUGGUGAGCAGUUGAUGUUUAUGUACGGUUGUACUCCUGGUUAGUAACUAGUUCUUUGUUAAUACAUAUAUGGGGAAGGGUAUAUCUCUACACAGUUUUCAUAAGGUUGUUUCCCUUCGGGUUUGGUAAUUCCGUUCUCUUUUAAAGCCACUUCCAGCAGAAUUUAGGAUAAUUACUCUCCCAGGCUUAAAAUACUUGUAGUUUCAGGACUCUUAUGGUCCUUACAAAUGAUAUUGACAAUGGAUUAGCUUAUAGAGACCUCUGCAUGUUCUCAGAGAAGUCUGCAUCAUGUGAGACUUUCUAGAAAAAGGAUAUCAAACUUGCAGAUCCUGGAAUUGGUUCAAAACUUCUGAAAGACGGAACAUAAGUUUAGAUCUGCUCACUGGGCUUUAUUAUUAAGAUCUGGCAUAUUGUUUUAACUUCAUCCUUUCCGUACUAAAUGGUUGAAUCACUUUGAUGUAGUAGUGAAAUGUGGACAUUCAGUUUGGGAAGGGAAGGAGAAUUGUGUCUAUGAGCAUGUAGGUAUUGUGGUUAUAUAUUUUCUUACUGCCUUUCUCCUGUGAAGUUCUUUCUGCCUCUGGCACCAAACCAACAUAUUCCUUCCUCACACUAUCAUUUUGCUUUCACCCAAGGCAGAAACAGUUCAGCAGCUAGAAGCCCAAUAGUCUGUUUUCUUGCUGCUUUCUUUGUUUUGGGUAUCUUGCACUUACUUCUCUAUUGGUUGAUUUGUUUAUAAUGAUCCUCACACUCUCAUUUUGCUUUCACCCAAGGCAGAAAGAGUUCAGCAGCUAGAAGCCCAACAGUCUAUUUUCUUGCUACUUUCUUUGUUUUGGGUAUCUUGCACUUCCUUCUCUAUUGGUUGAUUUGUUUAUAAUGAAUCACAGAAGUUUGACCAGGAUCUAUAGAUGGAUUUUACCCUGCAUGUGGACUAGGGAGAGUGAUUUUAUUGCUCCAGCCAUGAAUGGUCUUUCAGGCGCAGGUCCCUACUGCUUACCUGUUUGUUCCAACUUAUUUCCUAUAUGGAUUGUAUUUGGAGCAUGGACCACUGAGGUGCCGAGUUCCUAUAAGCUACUGCAACCAGAUAAUGCAUAAGUUGUGCUCCAGGAUUUGAAUAGGGAACGAGUAUGCUUGAUCACGUUUGGAAAACAUAUGCCUGCCAUAGUCCAAAUGUACCUUUAUGGCUUUAGUGAUCUUGAAGGGAAAAAUAAAUAUUUUACUAGUAAUACAGUUUGUAUUCUACUUGUCAUAUUACCGAUGGUUCAAGACUAUAAAAUGGUAAAACGAUAUAUUACUGACAUGAUGGUAAAAAGUUUGCAAAUAUAAAAUAAAUAAUUACUGCAAGAUUAUCAUUGUUAUCGUCCCAAAUACCAUUCUUGCCAAAAGUUGAUGUAUGUUAUAUGAUAUAUAUUGGUACCUUAAUUUGUCUUUUCAUCAUUAGCUAAAUCCAUGUGGUAGCUACAUGCCUGUUCCUGUUGUAUUUGACUUCUUUUGGCAAUGUCUUGUUCAUCAGAUGUAGCGCUGGUUACCUCCUUAAGGGAUGGCAUGAACCUUGUCAGCUAUGAAUUCGUGGCCUGCCAGGAGUCGAAAAAAGGGGUCCUUAUUCUCAGUGAAGUAAUAAUCACAUAUCUAAUUGCAAUUUUAUUUCCUCGAAUGCCAUGUUUACUAGUUUUUUGGUUUCGAAAGUGUUUUAUGCUUUCAGGCAUUGUGAACAGAUAAGAUGAAAAGAUUUUUGCAGCAUAACCCACAUAGACAGGACAUUCUUGUGUUUCUUUGCUACUUUAUUUUGACGAGGCUAACAGUUUAUAGAAAACAAAAGCAAGAUUACAGUUAUCCUAAUUCCUUUCAAAAUUUUGAUGCCCCUCAGUCUUCUUGAAUCACACAUGAUGCUCCAUACAUGGUAUCUUUUGUUCUCUUACGUCUUAAUCAUUUCCGAAGUCAAGGAGGUUAUUUUUCGCAAGACCUUUUGCAGAUAGAACAUCUGAUUUGACAAGUUUUUGUGACACAGGCCAUAAUUUUCUUUCUGAACAGCUGCGCUCCAGCUUCUUUGAACAGCCUCUGUUAUUGGUGUUCUUUCGUUUAGAUUGAUUUUAUGUGACACAACAUAGCAUGUCAACCAAAUGAAAAAAUCAAUCCUUUUCUAUUCUGUUAGAUAUCUAAAUAAACCAUAACUGACAUGUUGCUUAUUCUCUUCCUAAUUGUGUAACUAUUGAGUAUUCUAUGUGAUAUGUUGUCAUGGAGUAAAGAUAAUUUAUGAAAUCAAAAUAAUGGAGCCUCUCUGCCCUUUCGGGUAGGGGUAAGGCUCGUCUACAUAUUACCCUCCCCAGACUCCACUUUGUGGGACUAUACUGGGUAGUUGUUGUUGUUGUUGUUGGAGCUACCAUUUCAGUUUUGCAGUAAUCUUGAAGGAAAUUUUACUGCUGUGCUGUCCAACGCAUUGAAAUUGUCUCAUCUCUCUUUGUAUGUGCAUAGUUUCAAUAGAUAAAUUUUCUAAUCUUUAAUCUCGUGCAUUUGUAGUUUGCAGGUGCUGCACAGUCCUUAGGUGCUGGAGCAAUUCUGGUGAAUCCAUGGAAUAUCACAGAGGUCGCUGCGUCGAUUGGGCAAGCUUUAAAUAUGUCAGCCGAAGAAAGAGAAAAACGCCACAGGCAUAACUUUCUGCAUGUGACUACCCAUACUGCUCAAGAAUGGGCUGAAACUUUUGUGAGGUGACAAUACAUUUCAGCAAUAGCCUAUUAUCGUUAACAGUGUAAAGCUACUGUGGAUUUUUGCCUAAUCACUGAUCAGACUAGGGGUGUGCAUUCGAUUUAUCGAUUCGAUUGACCCUUAUCGAUAAUUACUUAUCGAUUAUCGAUUUGUACAUAUGUCUAUCGUUAUCGUUUCAAUAAGGUUUUGAUUUUUUCGAUUUCGAUUUAUCGAUUUUUGAGGCUUAUCGAUUCGGUUAUCGAUUAUACCAAUAAGAAAAUUUGUGGCAAGUAUAUCGCUAUAAACACGCCUAACUAAUAUGGACAAAAAGAAGCUAAAAUAAAACGAACACCGUUUAUAACAUAACAAUUAUGUCAACAGGCACAUGCAACGAAACUAAAUUAAGGGAUCAAAUGGAUUUCACCAACACUCCAACGGUAUUAAAAAAAUAAAAAUACAUCAUCACUGCUAAUUCUAUUUUCCAUUAAUUUGAACUUCAUUCCAUUUAGCUUUAAAUAUGAUCAUUCCUUAAAUUUGGAAGGUGAAAUAAUUAGGAGUGUGCUUUCGAUUUUGACCCUUAUCCAUAAUUACUUAUUAAUUUGUACAUAUGCUUAUCGUUAUCGUUUCAUUAAGGUUUCGAUUUUUUCGAUUCGAUUUAUCGAUGAAUCGAUAACAAAUAAUCGAUUCGAUUAUCGAUAAACCGAUUCGAAUGCAUACCCCUAGAUCAGACUCCUGUAAAGAACCUAUUUGGCGGCAAAAGAGUAAUAAUAGUAUAAAACCAUAAAAUACCACCCUUAUUGUUCUACUUUUGCUGGAAAUACUAUCAGCAAGGCUUCUUGAGGAAGCAAGAUAGUAGAGAAGUCAGUUCUUGCUUGAGUUUAACUUCAUGGCUGUGGCUCUGAUGCUUCAGUGCUCAUUUGCACUUUCUUUACUCAAGAUGAUUCUUCCUAUCUGUCUUUAGUGCGGAGUUAUUUGAUCGUAGGAUUGGAACAGGUCAGGUUAGACAUUAGAUUUGUAUUUUUAUAUUCUUAGGGUCAUAAAAGUACCUAGGCAGCCUGUUUAACUGAAUAGGAUCUUAUGUCAGAAUAUACACACUCUUAUCUAGGGUAUGCCUACCUUGAGAAUUAUUCAGGCACCAUAUUAUAUUGUUUGCAUAUCUUCCUUGAUCAUUUCUAUGUUUUGUUGCAUGGCUUCUCUCAAUAUUAAAUAUCUUUCCUGUAUCAGCCGUUUUUAUCUUCCCUCAGCAUAGAUACUGUUGGUGCAAUUUAAGCAUUACAUGUUUAUUAAUUGAGAUUAUAAAUGGGUAUUUUAGUAGAGCUUCUUUUUGAUAAACUUUGCACAUUAAUCGGCCACUAUUCCUCUUCUUCGCAGUGAACUAAAUGAUACUGUUAUUGAAGCUCAACAGAGGAUAAGAAAAGUUCCACCCCGACUUAACAUCAGUGAUGCAAUUGACCGCUAUUUGUUGUCCAAUAAUCGUCUACUAAUAUUGGUACCACUCAUCCCUCUUUCAAAUGUAAUCUGCUGAAAUUAUUUAUCCAAAAGCUAGAGUUAACUAUUUUCCCUAAUGAUUCCUGUGAUUGAUAAUAAUCGUUUGGUUCUGGAAGAGUUCAUACAUAGCAGAAAGGCUACCUAGAUGGCUUUAGACGAUGAAUCAAGUUAGUGGCAAAAGCCUUUGCUAAUUUGGAUAGCAUACCAACUGUUUUUAGAUUUGACAUGUUCACUCGAGUCCAAGUCAUGUUGGUGAUGCUUCGGUGUGCAUAUUAUGGGUGAAGGGGGUAGCUAGUAUGCUGCUAAUGACUUUUUGGCUGUAGAAGUGAAGAAUUAGCAAUAGAAGAGUGAAGAGAUCUAGGAUGCUACCAUGACGUCGGGGCCUUGGUGAUUCUGGGAGGGAAACGUCUCCAGUUAGUGGUAGACUUUGUGGGAAGGGGUUAUAUGUGUGAAGAAGAAUAGAUGCAGCCUCCUCUUCCCCAUACUUUUCCUUUGUGAGGACUCUUUGGGUUUCUCUGUCGAAUGCCUAAAUUUCAUUAGAUAUUAUAUAUUUUUAAGUUUAAUUUUCUGUUCUUUUAUACUAUAUGCAGCAACUAGCUAAGUUAAUGACAAUUUCUUGACCUGAUUACGGUGGUCCUCAAAAACAGGGUUUCAAUUCUGCGCUGACAGAAUCGGUGGAUACCCCUGGAAGAAGAGGUGGAGAUCAAAUUAGAGAGAUGGAACUGAAAUUGCAUCCCGAACUGAAAGAACCAUUGACCGCAAUCUGCAACGACCCAAAGACAACAGUUGUUGUCCUCAGUGGAAGUGACAGAAAUGUCUUAGAUGAUGUACUGCAUUACAACUAGCAAAAUUUCAAUUCCUUCAACUAUAGCUACGUUUCCCCAUGCCAAUUUUGUACCUUUGCAGAACUUCAGUGAGUACAACAUGUGGUUAGCAGCAGAAAAUGGAAUGUUUUUGCGAUCUACAAAUGGUGUAUGGAUGACAACUAUGCCAGAGCAUCUAAAUAUGGAUUGGGUUGAUAGUGUGAAGGUAUGAACAUGUGUAGCUAGGUUCUGAAAGUGGAUUUUUCAGCUCUAACUUUUCUGGUUCUUUUGACUAUAUCCAGCACGUCUUCGAGUACUUCACUGAAAGGACACCGAGAUCUCACUUUGAACAACGUGAAACUUCACUUGUUUGGAAUUACAAGUAUGCAGGUAAUCUUAGUUUCACCAUCUAUUUUUAUUUCAAGAAAAUUCAGUCAUGUGUGUCAAUUCUCUUUCCUCUUUUUUACUUAUAAUUUUCAUUUGUGGGGGUCUUCCAUGUCCUUUUAGAUGUUGAAUUUGGAAGAUUGCAAGCUAGAGACAUGCUGCAGCAUCUCUGGACAGGCCCAAUAUCAAAUGCAUCUGUUGAUGUUGUACAAGGACUCCGCUCCGUUGAGGUUCGAGCAGUAGGUGUUACAAAGGUGACCACAUUGUUUCUUUUGAUAAUAUGACCAGAUAGUUGCUCCAUGAAAUUUGUUUCAAGCGCUUGAUUAGUUCAUGAGACAAUUUUUUUUCCCAAUUCUCAUACACCCAUAUAUACAUGCAGGGAGCAGCAAUUGAUCGUAUACUGGGGGAGAUAGUACAUAGUAAAGCCAUUGCAACACCAAUUGAUUACGUCUUGUGCAUUGGGCAUUUCUUGGGGAAGGUUAAUUCCUUAAAGCUAUCAAAAUAUCCUUAAGUUAAUACUACUAUUGCUGUGAAUAACCCAAAGCUUCCCUGUCUAUUAAACUAGCUCCAGAUUUUGAUUAACUGUGGUGCAACUAUUAUUUCAAAAAAAAAAUGAACUAAAUGCUCCCAACAGAAUUAACUUAAGAAAAUCAAUGUAGGAUAGGUUGAUCAUUUACAACUGUAUACUUGUUUUCUUGUGUCCAUCUUGAAUUUUGAUGUUGUUAUAUGCCCAUUUUGUUGCUAAAAUAAUCACUAUGUUCAUCUGUAUAAAUAUAUUUAAAUUAAUGAGACUAAACUAAAUGGAUCAUGUUGCCAAAUCCUUUGAGCUUAUAUGCUUUGUAUGUCAAACUUCAAACUACGCCAGAGGUUUUUAUGAAAUACAGAUGCCACUAUUCUGAUUUCUAUCUGGUAUCUUUGUAAUGUAGGAUGAGGAUGUAUAUACAUUUUUCGAGCCAGAGCUUCCUUCUGAUUGCAUUGGUAUUCCAAGGGGUAAGGUCUCUGAUGCACUGAAGGUACCAGGGGAAAGGCGAUCGGCGCCAAAAGUUCCGUCCAGCCGAACUAGCUCAAAAUCAUCUCAGAACAGGAAUAGGCCUGUAUCGAACUCGGAGAAGAAAACUUCCAAUGGUGGUGGACGUAGCCGAACUGGUUCAAAAUCAUCUCAGAACAGGAAUAGGCCUGUAUCGAAUUCGGAGAAGAAAACUUCCAAUGGUGGUGGACGACGGACCUCACCUGAAAAUGUGUCAUGGAAUGUGCUGGAUCUGAAGAAGGAGAAUUACUUCUCUUGUGCAGUUGGCAGGACUCGUACAAAUGCUCGGUAUUUGCUCAGUACACCUGACGACGUUGUUGCUUUUCUAAAGGAAUUAGCUGAAGAAUCUAUCUCAAAUGCGCCAUUAUGAAAAGGAUAAAUGAUGCUGGUUGCCUGAUGAUGUUGUUGCUUUUCUAAAGGAAUUAGCUGAAGCAUCUUUCUCAAAUGCGCCAUUAUGAAAAGGAUAAAUGAUGCUGGUUGCAUCAAGUGAUGAAGGAUCAGUACCAAGUUUUUGAUUGAGGAGAUUUGUAUGGAGGAUAUUGAGCAACGUUUAUUCCUGAUUUGCGUUGGAUAUAUAGAUAUCUGGAUUCAAUAUUCUACAAAGUAAAGAAAUAACCUUUCUGCUAGCUAAUAAUGGCUCCCUCUGUUUCUCUUCCGACCCGUAUAUGUUUUUGCCCGUUGGAUUAUCACUUAGAACUUUAACAUACAUAUUGAGCAGUUCAAAAUCACAAGCACUUGUCAACAACUCACAAUCAUCAUUUAUGGAGUUACUAAAAUAAGCUUCAAAGAGAAUUCUUUUAAUUUUUUUGUUGGUCAUUGUUUUGUUUUCUAAUGGUUAAUUUCAGUCUUCUAAAUGGGAAUUCUUAGAAAGGCAGAGAUAUAUUGGAAUAAUGAUAAAAAUAGUUAAGGCAAAUCUUAUCCCUUGCUUAUGGUGUAUAAAAGAGCAGUUGAGCUCACGUUGACUCUCUUUAAGGGUUGCUUGAAUGGAGAGAUCUGGUUUCAUGUUUCUUAUUCACAAGAUAAAAUCAUUGCGCACCUAUUAGGUUUUACAUAUAUGAAAAUUUGAACUACUUAAAUCUUAAUGCUUCUAUCCUAAUUAUAGUGAUGUCAAAAUGGCUAAAAGAAAAUAAUUAUCCACCUACAUUAUAAAUUAAAAAUGGUUUGGAUAAUGAACUAUUUAAAAACGGGUCAAAUAUGAAUAAAACCAUAUUAUUCACUUAGAAAAUAGAUAACCAAUGGAUAACUAAUGAUUUUAACUUUUACCUUUGUAAGCCAGGGAUAAUAUUUAACCUGUUUUUUAUCUGUAUUAAAUAUGGGUCGAAUAUGAUAAUUUAUCAGCCUUUUCGUAUUACUUGUUUUCGACCCGCCCAUAUCCUAACCCGACCCCUUCAUUAGCCACCCUUUAGUAGACACAUAAAUGUUUGAAAGUGGGAGUUCCAAAAUGUGAACAUUUUAGGGCUUUAAAAAUCAAUGUCUGAUUCACUCCAAAGGAACUGGUGCAUUUUGCAAUAGCAGUUCAAAUUCACCAAUCUUUCUGGAAUGGAGGGAGUAAUUGAUUAAUUUAUUAUUAAGGCGUAAAUUACUAAAACUAAAUUAAAAUAAUCCAUGCUAAAUACAGUUAUCUUCCUUGAGAUUACUGUUAGAUAUCUUGGGUCGGUGAUUCAGGGGAACGGAGAGAUUGACGGGGACGUCACUCAUCGUAUANNNNNNNNNNNNNNNNNNNNNNNNNNNNNNNNNNNNNNNNNNNNNNNNNNNNNNNNNNNNNNNNNNNNNNNNNNNNNNNNNNNNNNNNNNNNNNNNNNNNNNNNNNNNNNNNNNNNNNNNNNNNNNNNNNNNNNNNNNNNNNNNNNNNNNNNNNNNNNNNNNNNNNNNNNNNNNNNNNNNNNNNNNNNNNNNNNNNNNNNNNNNNNNNNNNNNNNNNNNNNNNNNNNNNNNNNNNNNNNNNNNNNNNNNNNNNNNNNNNNNNNNNNNNNNNNNNNNNNNNNNNNNNNNNNNNNNNNNNNNNNNNNNNNNNNNNNNNNNNNNNNNNNNNNNNNNNNNNNNNNNNNNNNNNNNNNNNNNNNNNNNNNNNNNNNNNNNNNNNNNNNNNNNNNNNNNNNNNNNNNNNNNNNNNNNNNNNNUGGCUAGAAUGCGGGUUUCCGAGGACAUGGCCCUUGAUAGGAAAGUCUGGAGGUCUAGUAUCACGGUUGUAGGAUAGGGGCUCCUAGAGUUUUUUGUUCUCCUAACCAGGGGUUGGGUGAGGCUUGACAGGGCUAUCCAUAGAUGAUUUGUGUAUUGGAUUGUGUCUACCUUAUGGUAGUUAUUUAUGGUUCUUAUGUUUACAUAAUUAUUUACAUUAUCUCCGCUGGAGGUACUAAUGCUCUUUUGUUUUUGUUUUUCAUUUCCUACACUGAGCCGAGGGUCGAUUGGAAACAGUCUCUCUGCCCUUUCGGGUAGGGGUAAGGCCCGUCUACAUAUUACCCUCCCCAAACCCCACUUUGUGUGAAUAUACUGGGUAGUUGUUGUUGCUAACAGAAUACUAGCAAAAUACAUAGCAACUUUCCACUCAAUAUGUGGGGAAGAGAAAAACAACACUAUGAAAUGGAGCAAGAAACAAAUCAUAAUUCCAUAUAUAUUAGAUUCAGUAAAUAAACCCUUAGCACACAGGGUUGAUAACAGAUACACGGGGAACUCCUAUCCAAAGCUUCCUCGUAGCACAUUCAACAUAAUAGACUCAUAUAUAACUAACAGGAACAACCAAGCAUAGGAAUUCUAAUCACCGGCAAGAAUCUAAACAAUAGAAAAUAUGGGCUACUAAUGACGAAUAAUGACUAAACUAGGAUACAAAGUCAAGUAGCAUAUUGAUCCAAACCAGAAGUCUGAUCUCAAUAACCUAAGGCUUAUUAAGCAGCAGUUUUUCUAUUUGGUUCAAACACAUAUUUGACCAAUGAUUCCUUGAUUGGCAGCAACUCAGGGAACUCCUUUUUCAACUUUGAAGCAUCCAUCUCAUUGUUACUGCGAGCUGCAACAAUUACCUUAGCCUGUUCUUCCAAUGUGAAAUUGGCCCACGUAAAGUCUGGGUUUAUAUAUUUCUUGAACAUCUCCAAAAUCUCAUUGUGGCUCACAACACCGGGAUUUGUGAAAUUCCAUAUGCCCUUGAGAUUAUGUAAAGUCUGGGUUUAUAUAUUUCUUGUACAUCUCCAAAAUCUCAUUAUGGCUCACAACACCGGGAUUUGUGAAAUUCCAUAUGCCCUUGAGAUUACGUUUUGCCAUCUCAAUUGAAAUUGGAAGAAGCUCAUCCAAAAUUGUCAUGCUGUUGGGAAUAUUGACCACCUUAUUGUAGCGACUAAUCUUGGUAAUGAAAUUCCGGGGGUUGCUGAGGUCUGAAGAUAUUGGCAUCCGGACUCUGAGGGUGCAAACAUUCUCGCAUUCUUUCAGCAACUCUUCAACCUGGUGAAAGAAAGAAAGAAACAGUAUCAAUAUUUGUAUAAAGACUACCCACAUACAGAGUCUUAAGGAGUACCAACCAUAGCCUUGGUCUUAGAAUAGAAAGAACCAGCGAAAUUGGGCGUGUCUUCCUCUUUGAAUCCAAUGCCAGAACCUUCUGGGUGUGCAGCAUCAUAUUCAAAUAUGCAACCAGUUGCAAAAUUCAUCAUCAGUAAACCAUGCUCUUUACAAACAUCAGCCAAGUUUAGAGUUCCAGCAACAUUUGUACGAAUUGUUUCAGUUUUAUGACUCUCACACCAAUCAACGUUAGGUCUACCGGUGACACCAGCAGCAUUGAAUACAUGUGUGGGCUUGACAGCGUGAAUGUCUGCCAAAAGUUGUGACCGAUCCUGCAGACGUCCCCUUCCAUACUCAUAAGGAAUUCCCUGUUUCUCACAAAGCUUUCCUAGCCCGAUCCUGCAGACGUCCCCUUCCAUAAUCAUAAGGAAUUCCCUGUUUCUCACAAAGCUUUCCUAGCAAACCACCAAUCCAACCAGUCCUACCAUAAAUCAAAAACUUAUAAGGUGAUUUAUUAGGGGGGUUGCCGAUCUUGGAAGCUGGAACUGCCAUCCGGGUCUGGUUGGGGUUUCCAGAGCACUCAGAUGACCCCGAAUCAUCUUUUUCAGCUCCUCUCUCUACCCCACCAGGCAUCAUCAGCAUUCUAGGAUGGGGAAGCAAUGCUCCAGAGACAUCUCCCCACCAAUCAGGAUUACUGAUAUACCAGUCCAUGGUUUUCUUCAGACCCUCUUCCCACGUGGUCCCCUCUGACCAACCCAAGUUCUUCAACUUCUGAUCAUCUAGAAAAUACCUCUGGUCAUUGAAGGGCCUGUUCUCCACAAACUGAAUGCUUGCAUCUGGAUCCUUGUUAAAAAGCUCUUCAGACCCUCUUCCCACGUGGUCCUCUCUGACCAACCCAAGUUCUUCAACUUCUGAUCAUCUAGAAAAUACCUCUGGUCAUUGAAGGGCCUGUUCUCCACAAACUGAAUGCUUGCGUCUGGAUCCUUGUUAAAAAGCUUGCAUAGAUCUUUGGCAACAUCAAUCACCCUCCUCUCUUUCUUAGUUCCAAUGUUAUAAACAUGACCAACCUCUCCUCGGUGAAGAACAACCUCGAAAGCCUCAGCAACAUCCUCACAGUACAAAUAACUUCUAACAUUUGAACCAUCUCCGUGAAUAGGAAGAGGCUUCCCCCUCAUGGCUAGAUUUAUAAACUUUGGGAUUAACUUCUCAGGAAAUUGAUUGGGACCAUACACAUUAUUCCCUCUAGUGGUUAUAACAGGCAAUCCAUAUGAUCUCCCAUAUGCCAUAACAAGCAUUUCAGCCCCAGCUUUAGUGGCUGAAUAUGGGUUCGUAGGAAGGAGUUGUGAGGCUUCAUGGUUUCCCACAACGGCAUCCUCAUCAGUCUCCCCAUAAACCUCAUCCGUGCUGACAUGGAUAAACCUUCUGAUCUGACCAGUAACUUUGCAAGCCUCUAAUAGCACGUGUGUACCAUAAAUGUUGUUCUUGGUGAACUCAAAGCUAUUACCAAAGGAGUUGUCAACAUGGGUCUGAGCAGCAAAGUGCAUUAUAGUGUCAAUGGACUCAGUGAUGAGAAGGUAGUUAACAAGAUCAGCACUGCCAAUGUCUCCCUUAACAAACUUGAAAUUAGGGGAGGAUCGAGAUGGAUUAAGGUUUUUCAGGUUGGAACAAUAAUCAAGCUUGUCAAGCACAACGAUUUUGUAGUCGGGGUAGCUCCGAACAAGGCGGUUGGCAACAUGAGAUGCAAUAAACCCUGCAGCCCCAGUAAUGAGUAUAUUCUUAGGAGUGUACGACAUCUUGAUGCAGGUUCUUCAGCUAACGAAUUUCAAAUCAAUACGCUCAGUUUAAUAGCAACUCAAAUCCUGCAAGAAACAAAUUAAUUUCAUCUAUUAACAACUGUCAAACCUAAAGCUUAAAAGAAGGCAUAAAGGGAAAAAGGACAAAAAAAAUGAAUUCUUUAAAUAGAUUAAUAACCAGGUAACAACAGAGAAUGUUUAAGAACUAAUAAGCAACUAUAUACCGACAAAAAAUAUUAAGCAAAAACAAGCACCCGAACAUUAAAAAGUUCGACAACCCGGAGUCUGAAAAGGUGCCCAAUUCCAUAAAUCUGAUUAUGUUGGGGGUUGUAGUAGGUAAAAGCAAGAUAAAAAAAAUGCGAGUGAACAUACAUGAAGUUUCCCUGGAUCAGCAAUAAAAUAUAACCACAAUAUUAUAAAAACCAGUAAAAAUUAUGAAUCAGUCAAUUAAUUAUGUCACAAAUCACAAACUAAUAGAGAUUUAGAAAAACCAGCACAAAAUUGAAAUUGAAAAAAAAAAAACACAGAUCAUCAGAUCCAACAUAGUAUUCUGCAAAACACAACAUUCUCAUUGCUCAUCAGCAUUUCAAAUAUGUGGUCCACAAUAUGCUGCAUGCUUGCUUAUCCAUAAUAGAUCUGGGAUCAUAAGUUUGCAAUGGCAAUAAAUUGGAAUCAAAGCAUAUUUGCAUUCAAAACCCAGAUCUAGCCUAAAAUCAUGAAUUGCAAAAAUAUAAGAAUAAGAGCAAUAACUGUAUUUGCUUACAGAUUUUCCAGAACCGAAUAAAGGAUCCAACACCCGAACUACAAGAAAAGGGAGACGAGAGAAACGGAAGAGACUUUUUUAGAGAGAGAAAGAGAAAAGCGUGUGAAGAUGAGAGUCAAGUAUCGUAUCUGUAUCGUCUCCCUUUUGUGUACAUGUAUUUAUACACGCACUACCCCCUACAAAAUUUUCAUGCAAAUCUAAUGUUCUUCUCUUCCAUAUUUAUUACUGCACCAAAAAUAAAAUAAAAUAAAUAUGAAAAAGGGAAACAUAGAGAGUGUUAUAGCGGGAAGGCGGAGGGAAAAUAAAAUUACAUUGAUGCCCCUGAAAUUACAUUGGUGCCCCUAAUUUAAGGAAUAUGUAAUUUUUAAAAUUAUUUAACUAUAAUACUGAACAAUGUAUUUAUAAUUUAAUAAAACUUAAAGAACGAAACAAAGUAGUCUGUGAUUAUAAAUUAAAAGUAGUUUUUUUGUUUUUCGGGUGUAAUUGCCACCUUCAUUAUUCUAUAAAGAUUUUUCUUUUUUGUUUUAUUUUUUAUUUCAUAUUAAAGGCGAUGUGAUAAAUUAUAUGUAAUUAAAAUUUACUAUUUUUGUAUUAAAAUUAAGUGAAGAUUCAUAGAAGCGAUGUGAUAAAUUACAUGUAAUUAAAAUUUACUAUUUUUGUGUUAAAAUUAAGUGAAGAUUAGACAAUUGUGCGAUACAAUUUGAUUAACUAAAUAAAGUUACAAUUUGUAGGGUAAAUCUAUAAUGUAAACUUUGAAUAAAUUAUUAUUUAAGAUUUUGAAGUAAAUCAUGUAUAUCUGCCACACCAAUUCCAAGUCAUACAAAACAAGUAAGAAUCCCUAUUGUUGGGAAAGCAUAUUUAUGUAAUGGAAAAGAAAGGCUUCUUAUAAGUGGUCAUCAUCGAAAAUAAUAAUAUAUUAAUUACUUAUGUAAAGUAAAUUAUGUAUAUUUUCCACUCCAAUUCCAAAUCAUACAAAACAAGUAUGAAUCCUUCUUGUUGGGAAAGCAUAUUUGUGGAAUGGAAAAGAAAAGCUUAUGAUAAUUGGUCAUCUUCGAAAAUAAUAAUAUAUUAAUUAUUUAUAUUAUAUUAAUUUUAAAUUUUUAAAUAUUAAGACUUCGGAUAUACGGUAAUAUUUUGUGAAUAAUUAUGGUUGUUAUAUUCAAUGAUAAUUAUAAUUUACAUACAAACAAAAAUACUAUUAUUAUGCAUAUACGAUAAUAUUUUGUGAAUAAUUAUGGUUGUUAUCUUCAAUGGUAAUUAUAAUUUACAUACAAAUAAUAAUACUAUUAUUUUUUUUUUUUUGUUGAUUCAAAUUGUUAAUAUUAGGUCAUUAUAUGUUUUAAAUAAAAAAAUAAUUUAAUAUGCAAUAUUUUAGUUGAAUUAUAUUGAAUCACUCAUUAGUGAAAUUUGAUCAGCAAUAUAAAUUACAUCGAACCUUAAUUUUACAAUAAAUUAUUAUAAUUAGGUUCAAUAAUAUUUUUCUUUUUCUCAUAUUUGGACAACCAACUUUUCAAGGAACAGAUUUGUAAUAUAUAAAAUCUUAGUUGACUUAAAAUUCUAAAAUAUUAGGACUUCCUACCUUGUUGAAUCAAUUUUAUAAUAAAUUAUUAUAAUUAGGUUCAAUAAAAAAAAAAUUCUCAUAUUUGGACAACCAACUUUUCAAGGAACGAAUUUGUAAUAUAUAAAAUCUUAGUUGACUUAAAAUUCUAAAAUAUUAGGACUUCCUACCUUGUUGAAUAAAGAGAUAAUUAGUAAAUAAAUUCUUAAUUUAUUUUAAGAUCCUAAAUAUUAAGAAAGUAAAUUUUUACAAUUUUGUCCAGUGUAAUAUAUAUUUUAAAGGGUAAAAAAGAAAAAUGAUAUUUCACUAAGAGCCUUAAUUUUGUCCAAUGUAAUAUUUAUUUUAAAGGGUAAAAAAAAAUGAUAUUUCGCUAAGAGCCUUCAUGCUUUUUUAGAUCUUUUUUUUGCUGUAAAUAAUUUUUUCACAUCUCAAUAUAAUUAUUAAAAAAAGUAGCGUGAAUUUUUGUUCCGUGUAAAAAGAUUCACUUUAAGUUAAUCUGAUGGUUAAAACUAUAAUAUGAAAAGACAUGAAAAAAUCUAUAUUAUUAUUGAUAUAAAAUUAUAAUUACCUCUUUGUCAACUAAUGUCACAAUUUUUCGGGUGCCUUGAUUUGUUCUAUUAUUGAACUCUUUUACUAUUCCACUCCCAAACACUAACACUCGUAUUAUCUAACAUGAAUCAAAUAGUCUUAGACUAUUUAUAGGGACACAUUGAUCUGACAAUUCAUUUCAAACCACUUAUACAAAGCCUGAGGCUUUAGGUCAGAUGACCAAGUGGGCAAUAGAACUAGGAGAACACGAUAUAUCAUUCCAGCCUAGAACUGCAAUCAAAGCUCAAGCUCUGGAGAAGAAGUUAGUUUACAAAGCGAAGCACAGCAUGAUGAAAAUGCAAUGCAGGUAGAUGGAACUGAUAUUACUCAGUCUGUCGAAAAUAAAGAGAAUUCCAGGUUGGUUCUCUAUGUAGAUGGAGCUUAAUCCAGAAAUGAAAAAGGUGAGUAUGAGGAGAUGAUGAAAGCAUAUUUAUCUGCUGUUC
rnacentral:lncRNA from 1 species